CGGGGGGCAGCAGUGGGGAAUAUUGGACAAUGGGCGAAAGCCUGAUCCAGCAAUACCGCGUGAAUGAUGAAGGCCUUAGGGUUGUAAAGUUCUUUUAGCAGGGAAGAUAAUGACGGUACCUGCAGAAAAAGCCCCGGCUAACUCCGUGCCAGCAGCCGCGGUAAGACGGAGGGGGCUAGCGUUGUUCGGAAUUACUGGGCGUAAAGAGCGCGUAGGCGGUUUAGUAAGUUGGAAGUGAAAGCCCGGGGCUUAACCUCGGAAUUGCUUUCAAAACUGCUAGGCUAGAGUGUAGUAGGGGAUGAUGGAAUUCCUAGUGUAGAGGUGAAAUUCUUAGAUAUUAGGAGGAACACCGGUGGCGAAGGCGGUCAUCUGGGCUACAACUGACGCUGAGGCGCGAAAGCGUGGGGAGCAAACAGGAUUAGAUACCCGUGU
rnacentral:rRNA from 1 species